rnacentral:sRNA from 1 species
GUUGCCGCAAAAUCGGCGACCAGGUUUAGCAGCCUGAAUGUACAAGCGGACGACCGCUUUAGUUUCAUGCGGUUUUUUU